GACUGUGAUGUUGCUUAUCGCCGGUUGUCUCUUGUCUAAAACUUUUCACAGAUUAUUUAACGAAAAGAAAAUAUAUUCGAGAAUUCAUUUUGUGAUCUGGAGAAUGAAGCGACAAAAAGUCGUCCAACAUGCAUUUAUCUUAUUUCUUCUACGGCUUGCUGUUUUAUUGCAACCAUAACCUUGGCAUUGAAUGUUCUGUUCAACUAUCAAUUAUUCAAAUCCACAACAUCUACAGUUGCAAAUCCAAUAACAAUUGUUACAGCUACAGCACCAGCAACAUUUGCUACCAACAUCACACCAGCAGAAUUUUUUGCGGCAGAUACAACACCAGCAACAUUUGCUGCUGGUCCGACACCUGAAAGAUUUGUUACGGGUGCGACACCAGCAACAUUUAUUUAUUAAAUUCUACUUUGUGUAUGCAGUUAUACUAUUUGUUCACAUUUUUAUCAUAAUUUCAUGUAAAUAAAGUUUCUUAAUGUUGUCAUAAAUAUGCACUGACUAUACGGUGUCAUUUAGCAUUUUCAUAA